rnacentral:rRNA from 1 species
AACGAACGCUGGCGGCAGGCCUAACACAUGCAAGUCGAGCGAAGCCUUCGGGCUUAGCGGCGGACGGGUGAGUAACGCGUGGGAACGUGCCCUUUGGUACGGAAUAGCCCCGGGAAACUGGGAGUAAUACCGUAUGUGCCCUUCGGGGGAAAGAUUUAUCGCCAAAGGAUCGGCCCGCGUUGGAUUAGGUAGUUGGUGGGGUAAUGGCCUACCAAGCCGACGAUCCAUAGCUGGUUUGAGAGGAUGAUCAGCCACACUGGGACUGAGACACGGCCCAGACUCCUACGGGAGGCAGCAGUGGGGAAUCUUAGACAAUGGGGGAAACCCUGAUCUAGCCAUGCCGCGUGAUCGAUGAAGGCCUUAGGGUUGUAAAGAUCUUUCAGUGGGGAAGAUAAUGACUGUACCCACAGAAGAAGCCCCGGCUAACUCCGUGCCAGCCGCCGCAGUAAUAC